GACUUUGGUAGGUUAGUGGUAGAGCAGCGGAGUGAAAACCUGAAGACCUGGGUUCUAAUCCCAGUCGAGUCC